rnacentral:rRNA from 1 species
CUGGUUGAUCCUGCCAGUAGUCAUAUGCUUGUCUCAAAGAUUAAGCCAUGCAUGUCUAAGUAUAUACUUUUGUACAGUUGAACUGCGGAUGGCUCAUUAAAUCAGUUAUAGUUUAUCGAUGGUCACUUACUACAUGGAUAACCGUGGUAAUUCUAGAGCUAAUACAUGCGUAAAUCCCGAAAGGGAGUGCUUGUCUGAAUAGAACCAAUACGGCUUGCCGUUUCUUGGUGAAUCAGGACAAAAGUACGAAUCGAUCUUCGGAUCGAUGCAUCAUUCGAGUUUCUGCCCUAUCAGCUUUGACGGUAAAAUAUCUGUUUACCGUGGCAUUGACGGGUAACGGGGAAUUAGGGUUUGAUUCCGGAGAGGGAGCCUGAGAAAUGGCUACCACAUCUAAGGAAGGCAGCAGGCGCGCAAAUUACCCAAUUCUGACAUAGAGAGGUAGUGACAAGAAAUAACAAUACAGGGCUUCGGCUUUGUAAUUGGAAUGGAUGCGACUUAAAACCUCGCAUGAGUAACAAUUGGAGGGCAAGUCUGGUA